rnacentral:rRNA from 1 species
GACGAACGCUGGCGGCGCGCUUAACACAUGCAAGUCGAACGGAAAGGCCUGCUUUCCCUUGUGGAUUGCGGGUACUCGAGUGGCGAACGGGUGAGUAACACGUGAGUGAUCUGCCCCCAACUUGGGUAUAAGCCUGGGAAACUGGGUCUAAUUCCCGAUAGGACUGCAGGGUGGUGCCUGUGGUGGAAAACGAUUUUCUAGUGGUUGGGGAUGAGCUCGCGGCCUAUCCGCUUGUUGGUGGGGUAAUGGCCUACCAAGGCGGCGACGGGUAGCCGGCCUGGGGAGGGUGGACGGCACAUUGGGGCUGGGGUACGGGCCCAGACCCCAAGGGAGGCAGGAGGUGGGAAUAAUGGACAAAGGGGGGGAGGCUGAAGGCGGGAAGCCGGGGUGGGGAUGACGGCCUUCGGGUUGUAAACUCCUUUCGACCGCGAGGAAGCCACCUGGUUGGAAGGGUGGUGACGGUAGUGGUAGAAGAAGCACCGGCUAACUACGUG